rnacentral:rRNA from 1 species
AUUGAACGCUGGCGGCAUGCCUUACACAUGCAAGUCGAACGGCAGCACGGGUGCUUGCACCUGGUGGCGAGUGGCGAACGGGUGAGUAAUACAUCGGAACAUGUCCUGUAGUGGGGGAUAGCCCGGCGAAAGCCGGAUUAAUACCGCAUACGAUCUACGGAUGAAAGCGGGGGACCUUCGGGCCUCGCGCUAUAGGGUUGGCCGAUGGCUGAUUAGCUAGUUGGUGGGGUAAAGGCCUACCAAGGCGACGAUCAGUAGCUGGUCUGAGAGGACGACCAGCCACACUGGGACUGAGACACGGCCCAGACUCCUACGGGAGGCAGCAGUGGGGAAUUUUGGACAAUGGGCGAAAGCCUGAUCCAGCAAUGCCGCGUGUGUGAAGAAGGCCUUCGGGUUGUAGCACUUUUGUCCGGAAAGAAAUCCUUGGCCCUAAUACGGUCGGGGGACGACGGUACCGGAAGAAUAAGCACCGGCUAACUACGUG